GUCGAGGAUGACGUUGAGCACCUCGGCGAGGCUACCUGGCCCGGGCACCCGCUGCACUGGCGGUCGCGGAGCCGGCCCCCGAUCGCAGGAAACACUCAUGGCGAUCUCCCGCUUCUGGUUAGGCUGCUCCGCUCACCGUCCUCGCCAAGCCACACUGAGUGUCGCUUCGCGCGAGAGCAGAGCCGAAGAACUGGCGAACACGAGGCAAGGGGCCAACGCCGCUUGUUCGUUCCCCGCCUCGCUCUCAUCUGUGCAGCGCAAGGCAUGACCCACAUGCCUCUGGACACUCCGAGACGUAGAUCGGUUCAUUACUCUGCUUGAGUGCAUAUCUCGUGCCCGACACUCGUAGAUGAACAUCUCUAAACCUUAUGAGCAGCGCGAGC
rnacentral:misc_RNA from 1 species